rnacentral:lncRNA from 1 species
GCCAGCCCAGAACUGGAACCUAGAGAGGGUGAGGGGAGAGGAAGCAAAGCAGGAGGAGCUUGGCUUCCUCUCGCAUCUGAGGACAGACCGGUUCACUUCAAGAACCUCACAGAGAGGCAGACUGCAUCUCUGCAGCGAGCUUUUGGAGUACCACUGGCCCGGAGGCUAAGGAUGGUGAUUUCUCUGAGAGCAGGCUGCAGGGCAGCGCUCUCGCUCUGGAUUCUCAGCAGCUUCAUCUGCAGAGCCUGGACAGCUCCCUCCUCCUUCCUCCUGACUACAUCUCCCUCCUGAUCUGCCCCCGGUCACUCUUCAUCCCAAACCUCCACCUCCCCUGUUUCCAAGAGGAUGUCCCCAACAUCUGCACACU